rnacentral:lncRNA from 1 species
AGAAAACUAAAAACAACCCAUUAUUUCUUUCCAUAAAACAAUCAAAAGGGUACCUUCAAAACAGCAGGUUUUUGUGACAAAUCACAAGGAAGCCUUUCAAGCUCAACAGCUCUUCUAGCAAUUCUAAUGGCAAGUUCCUUAUGAAGAAACUGUGCAGAAAUCAACAAAUUCUUGGAAGUUGGUUUAGAACCAAAAUCCAUCAUGUAUCUUAAACUCACACCAGUUUGUUUGAAACAACCCCAUUUGUGUACUUCUUCUAUCAAGCUUUUGGAGAAUGUUUCAAUAGCUUUCUUUGCAGCCAUGGUUAACAAAAAACUUUUUUUUCUUGUUCUAACCAAAGAAUUUGAAUUGAACAAACAAUUGUAACAGAAAAACAGAAUCUGAAACUAACAAGUAACAAUAGCAAUAACAAUAACAAGCAUGUUGAAGAAAGAGAGAGAAAUUGUACUAUACUUUGAAUAAGAAUAAUAAUGAAUUGUGAUAGUGAAUGAAAGAAAAGUAUAUAGUUAUCAUCAUAGAGAUGAAAAGAUUGAGACUUUGGUUUUGCCGCAAAGUGGGAAAUGUGAAUUGUUAG